rnacentral:rRNA from 1 species
UACGAAGGGGGCGAGCGUUGUUCGGAAUCACUGGGCGUAAAGGGCGCGUAGGCGGCCCUCUUAGUCGCGUGUGAAAGCCCCGGGCUCAACCUGGGAACGGCGCGCGAAACGGGAGGGCUGGAGUUCGGGAGAGGAGAGUGGAAUUCCCAGUGUAGAGGUGAAAUGCGCAGAUAUCGGGAGGAACACCAAUGGCGAAAGCAGGUAACUGGACUAUUACUGACACUAAACUGCGAAAGCUAGGGGAGCAAACAGG